rnacentral:lncRNA from 1 species
CUGGCUAGGGAGAUGUUGAAGCGUAAUUAUAGUUCCUGGCUAUCCGGACUUUUUAACAAGGACAACAACAGUGUGGAAGUUGCACACUUCCAUGGUUUACAAGAAGCAUUGGACGAAACUCGUUAUGGGGAAACACCAGACUACCUCAAACGUAUCGCAACCCUAAUCGAAGUGGAUCGUGGAAAAGUUACUAAGUUUGGCCAUAAAAAUAUUGAAGUGCUGGUUUGUGCCGCAUUCAAAGAGAUGGAAGACUGGCGUACACCUAAGGAUUCCGGCUGUAACCAGUUGAAAAAGUGGGCCGCGACGCUCAAUAUGGGUAAGGAACAAGACUUUGAAGUGAAAUUUGCUGAUGACACGUUGAAUAAUAUUUGUCUUGCCUGUUAUGCUUCCUUAAUGAUCUAUGGAGGGGAUGGUUCAAUUCAGUUCAUACCAUUGGGGAACACUAUUACUAGUGGAAUGCUUCAAAAGGGUGGGCGUGAGGCGUCUGAAGCACAAUACAAUACAAACACACCACCAUUGUCGCACAGUGAUAAUCAGAUGAACUUAAUGCUCAGUGGAAGCAACAAAAGAGACGGGGUUUCAGAAGCUGGAGUACAACAAGGUACUGAAAUGAAUGAUGUUACUAUUACUGUUGAUCAAGACCACGGAAGUUUGCUGGCUAGGGAGAUAUUGAAGCGUAAUUAUAGUUCCUGGCUAUCCGGCCUUUUUAACAAAGACAACAACAGUGUGGAAGUUGCACACUUCCAUGGCUUACAAGAAGCAUUGGACAAAACUCGCUAUGGGGAAACACCAGACUACCUCAAAGGUAUCGCGGCUCUAAUCGAAGUGGAUCGUGGAAAAGCUACUAAGUUUGGCCAUAAAAAUAUUGAAGUUUUGGUUUGUGCCGCAAUCAAAGAGAUGGAAGACUGGCGUACACCUAAGGAUUCCGGCUAUAACCAGUUGAAAAAGUGGGCCGCGACGCUCAAUAUGGGUAAGGAACAAGAUUUUGAAGUGAAACUUGCUGAUGACAUGUUGAAUAAUAUUUGUCUUGCCUGUUAUGCUUAC